rnacentral:rRNA from 1 species
UACGUAGGGUGCAAGCGUUGUCCGGAAUUAUUGGGCGUAAAGAGCUCGUAGGCGGUUUGUUGCGUCGGCUGUGAAAUCCCGAGCUCAACCUCGGGUCUGCAGUCGAUACGAGCAAACUAGAGUGUUGCAGGGGAGACUGGAAUUCCUGGUGUAGCGGUGAAAUGCGCAGAUAUCAGGAGGAACACCGGUGGCGAAGGCGGGUCUCUGGGCAACAACUGACGGCUGAGGAGCGAAAGCCCAGGGGAGCGAACGGG